rnacentral:rRNA from 2 species
UGGGGAAUAUUGGACAAUGGGGGCAACCCUGAUCCAGCCAUGCCGCGUGAGUGAUGAAGGCCUUAGGGUUGUAAAGCUCUUUCGCCGGUGACGAUGAUGACGGUAACCGGAGAAGAAGCCCCGGCUAACUUCGUGCCAGCAGCCGCGGUAAUACGAAGGGGGCUAGCGUUGUUCGGAAUGACUGGGCGUAAAGCGCACGUAGGCGGCCUGUUUAGUCAGGGGUGAAAUCCCGGGGCUUAACCCCGGAACUGCCUUUGAUACUGGCAGGCUUGAGCCCGGAAGAGGGUGGCGGAAUACCCAGUGUAGAGGUGAAAUUCGUAGAUAUUGGGUAGAACACCGGUGGCGAAGGCGGCCACCUGGUCCGGUGCUGACGCUGAGGUGCGAAAGCGUGGGGAGCAAACAGG